GGAAAUGAUACAUGUAAUGGAACAGGUAUAUAUUCUUAUUUCAACAUGACAUACAAGAGAAACACUACAAUUUACGGAGACACGCGAGUUAUUUCUGCAUAGGCCUUACUAUUUUCUGGUGGUGGUCAAAACAUGCUUAUACACAGUGUCGAAAAUCCAAAUUGAAGUUUACUAACUUGGUCCAGCAUUUUGACAUGUCUGGUCACCUUCCUCUUUUCUUUU
rnacentral:misc_RNA from 1 species